rnacentral:rRNA from 1 species
CCCUUAGAUGUUCUGGGCCACACGCGCGCUACACUGAUGCAUUCAACGAGUCUAAAACCUGGUCUGAUAGGGCUGGGUAAUCUUUUGAAAGUGCAUCGUGAUUGGGAUAGAUGAUUGCAAUUCUUCAUCUUCAACGAGGAAUGCCUAGUAAACGCAAGUCAUCAGCUUGCAUUGAUUACGUCCCUGCCCUUUGUACACACCGCCCGUCGCUCCUACCGAUUGAAUGAUCCGAUGAAUACCAUGGAUUGAGAGUACGAAUGGGUUCGCUCAUUUCUGCUGCUCGAGAAGUGGAGUAAAUCUUAUCAUUUAGAGGAAGGAGAAGUCGUAACA